GGUAGUGUAUUGGACUACCAUGGCUUUCACGGGUAACGGAGGAUUAGGGUUCGAUUCCGGAGAGGGAGCCUGAGAAACGGCUACCACAUCUAAGGAAGGCAGCAGGCGCGUAAAUUACCCAAUCCUGACUUAGGGAGGUAGUGACAAGAUAUAACGACACGACUAAAAAUCGUGAUUGUAGUGAUGAUUUUUUAAAUGGAAUUUAAAGUACGAUUGGAGGGCAAGUCUGGUGCUAGCAGCCGCGGUAAUUCCAGCUCCAAUAGCGUAUAUUAAAGUUGUUGCAGUUAAAAAGCUCGUAGUUGGAUUUCAAGGGUCUCGCCGUGGAUACACGGUUGAAUCCUACCAGUCUCUGACUGUUACUGUGAGAAAAUUAGAGUGUUUCAAGCAGGCUAUUGCAGGAAUACAUUAGCAUGGAAUAACGAAUGUGUCUAGAAUCUUGGUUAAUUCUAGAAUACGAUUAAUAGGGACAGUUGGGGGCAUUAGUAUUUAAUUGUCAGAGGUGAAAUUCUUGGAUUUUUUAAAGACUAACGUAUGCGAAAGCAUUUGCCAAGGAUGUUUUCA
rnacentral:rRNA from 1 species